rnacentral:sRNA from 2 species
AUCGAAGUUUACUAGGGUUCCGCCGGCAGCAAGCCGGGGCUGGUCCGAGAGUAAACCGCCCUGCGGCCAGCCGCGCGGCGACACGGAAGGAUAAAAACCUGGGAGAU